rnacentral:lncRNA from 1 species
UCCCUCUUGCCAGCGUGGAUGUCUGAGGACUUUCCCCACAUGGAGAACAGCACCGUGGUGAAGUCACUCCAGGACAAGGCUGAUUUCCCCAGUGCCAGCCUCCAGGAGCCCUUCCUGGCCGACCCUGCCCUCACCGACAUCCAGGAGGUGCCGGCGCAGGAGCGGACCCAGAGCCCGGGCACCGCGGCCAGGGCAGGGGUGGCCGAGCCCAGGGAGGUGCCAAGGAGCGUGGUGGCCCCCAGGACCGCUGUCCCAGGGUGGCUGGGUGCCUACAAACCCCAGCUCUCCGACGGGAAUGCUUUGGGCUACGUGGCCGCUGGGAUCUGCCCGGCGCAGCCAGAGCCGGGAAUCCUCUGCCAGGACUACAGCAGCCCCGUGCCCCAGCUGUGGGAGCUGCACGGGGGGACACCCCAGCUCUGCCUGCUCGACAAGAUCAACCUGGUGCUCAACAGCAGCCUGGAGUUCCCGGGGCAGGCGGGGCACGGAUCCAUCCCGGAGCAGCGCUGGGAGCCACCCGGAGACGGCCCCGAGCAGAUGCUGGUCCCCGAGGAGCUGCUGUCCUGCCUGAGAGCCACCAACAGGGACCCUGCCUCCCGCAGAGCAUGGCAGGGCUGCUCUGACAGCUGCUGGGAUUGGGGAUAAAGCCUGGAGCAGGGACCAACCAAGGCGGUGUCAGCACCGGGAUUGCCAAAGGGAGAGCCAGAGCAAAGCUCCCCGCUGGAAUUUUGCCCUCCUACUUCACUGCAGGUUCUUGUGGCUGCCUGGGAAUCCUGGGCCAGCAAAUCCCAAUUUUAGCCUUACCUCACGCUGGCAGAAGGGAAAAAAACCCAUAAAGCUUGGAUUCCUGGGAUGCCAAGCAGGAGAUUCCUGCAGGGUGAAAUAUCUUCAAUUACUGCUCAGCAUCGUCCUCUUGCUAAGGGUAUGGAGCACUUCAUUCCCAAGGAUUUGGACCAUUUCAUUCCCAAGGGUUUGGACCAUUUCAUUCCCAAGGGUUUGGACCAUUUCAUUCCCAAGGGUUUGGACCAUUUCAUUCCCAAAUGUUUGGAGCACUUCAUUCCCAAGGAUUUGGACCAUUUCAUUCCCAAGGGUUUGGACCAUUUCAUUCCCAAAUGUUUGGAGCAAUUCAUUCCCAAAUGUUUGGAGCACUUCAUUCCCAAGGGUUUGGAGCAUUUCAUUCCCAAAUGUUUGGAGCACUUCAUUCUCAAAUGUCUGGAGCACAUCAUUCCCAAAGGUUUGGAGCACUUCAUUCCUGGAGCUAAUUGCAGCUAAAAUGGAUAAAAAAAUCCCUCAGACAUCCUGGCAGAGAUGUGGGAAAUAUUUUGGGAUUGCUCCUGAUGAGCAGACACGGCAGCAAGGAGGAUUUCUGUGUCACAGUGGUACCAAGAACAUGGAAUAUUUCCUGUAUUUCACUUUCCUCCCAUUCCCAAUAAAAACCCACUCAGGUAAGAGCA